rnacentral:rRNA from 1 species
GACGAACGCUGGCGGCGUGCCUAAUACAUGCAAGUAGAACGCUGAAGCGAGGAGCUUGCUCUUCUUGGCUGAGUUGCGAACGGGUGAGUAACGCGUAGGUAACCUGCCUUGUAGCGGGGGAUAACUAUUGGAAACGAUAGCUAAUACCGCAUAACAAUGGGUGACACAUGGUGUUUAUUUGAAAGGGGCAAUUGCUUCACUACAAGAUGGAUCUGCGUUGUGUUAGCUAGUAGGUGAGGUAACGGCUCACCUAGGCGACGAUACAUAGCCGACCGGCGAGGGGGGACGGCCACACUGGGAAUGGGACACGGCCCAGAGCCCUACGGGAGGCAGCAGUAGGGAAUCGUCGGCAAUGGGGGCAACCCUGACCGAGCAACGCGGCGUGAGUGAAGAAGGUUGUCGGCUCGUAAAGCUCUGUUGUAAGUCAAGAACGAGUGUGAGAGUGGAAAGUUCACACUGUGACGGUAGCUUACCAGAAAGGGACGGCUAACUACGUG